rnacentral:rRNA from 1 species
UACGUAGGGGGCAAGCGUUGUCCGGAAUUAUUGGGCGUAAAGAGCUCGUAGGCGGCUUGUCGCGUCGACCGUGAAAACUCGCAGCUCAACUGCGAGCCUGCGGUCGAUACGGGCAGGCUAGAGUUCGGUAGGGGAGACUGGAAUUCCUGGUGUAGCGGUGAAAUGCGCAGAUAUCAGGAGGAACACCGAUGGCGAAGGCAGGUCUCUGGGCCGAUACUGACGCUGAGGAGCGAAAGCGUGGGGAGCAAACAGG